rnacentral:rRNA from 1 species
AACGAACGCUGGCGGCAUGCCUAACACAUGCAAGUCGAACGAAACCUUCGGGUCUAGUGGCGCACGGGUGCGUAACGCGUGGGAACCUGCCCUUAGGUUCGGAAUAACUCCCCGAAAGGGGUGCUAAUACCGGAUAAUGUCUUCGGACCAAAGAUUUAUCGCCUUUGGUUGGGCCCGAGUUGGAUUCGCUCGUUGGUAGGGUUAAAGCAUACCAAGGCGACGAUCCAUAGCUGGUUUGAGAGGAUGAUCAGCCACACCGGGGCUGAGACACGGCCCAGACUCCUACGGGAGGCGGGAGUGGGGAAUAUAGGAAAAUGGGGGAAAGCAUGAUCCAGCAAUGCCGGGUGAGUGAUGAAGGCCUGAGGGUUGUAAAGCUCUUUUACCCGGGAUGAUAAUGACGGUACCGGGAGAAUAAGCUCCGGCUAACUCCGUG